rnacentral:misc_RNA from 1 species
GUAGGUGAACCUGCGGAAGGAUCAUUAUCGUAGGGCUUCGGCCCUGUCGAGAUAGAACCCUUGCCUUUUUGAGUACCUUUCGUUUCCUCGGCGGCUUCGGCCGCCAAUGGGGACCCCCAAAAACACUUUGCAGUACCUGUAACAGUCUGAACAAACAAACAAAAAUUAAAACUUUCAACAACGGAUCUCUUGGUUCUG